AAAAACAGAGCAUAUUUUGAAAGGUGUGCAUGGAUCAUGGUGGUGAUGAAGCUAACAAACCUUGUAAACAAAUAUUUACACAAUUACUGGAACAUUACCUCAUUAAGUAUUCUCCAGCAGUGAAGUUGGAGCCUUGUGACCUGUGCCCGACAGACUGUACUGUGAGCAGAAGCAGUGUGUUUUCCUGAGCUAAGGCAGUUCCCACGAGUGAACCUCCCUGAGCUGUAGAGACCUCGAACAAUGUGUGUUUCAGUUGGCCUACCUGACAAUGGAGAGGGCUAACACACAUCGGACAGGAUGAGUGUGGAAAAUAAUUCAUUCUCACGUUAAUCACUGGAUUUCCGAGUUUGCACUUGCAACCCCUAAUGUUCAAUGCCUUUACUAAUGUAGAUAUUGGAAAUUGAAGUUAGAUGCUACUGUAUCAAAAACAUAAAAUAUAUGCUAUUGGGUCAGUUUCAGAUGUGAAUGGCGAGGUGACUGGUAUUAGAGGAAGAAAAUGUAGUGGUUGGGUCAGGCUAACCCAAAGCAUAAAAGGACAUUGCCACCUGUGAUCAGAAGGGAGGUUAGCCACAUGCUUAUUGUUUUGCAAUUUAGAAAAAGAGCUUGGAAAGAAGUGUGUUUUCUGAAUUGGCUACUAUUGGUGGUAGUUGGCAAGAUGCUGUAGAGGUGAAUUGAGCGGGGAAAAAGUUACCAGCUAGCAAUUAGAAAUCAAAAGGGGCCAGGCGCGGUGGCUCACGCCUGUAAUCCCAGCACUUUGGGAGGCUGAGGUGGGCGGAUCACAAGGUCAGGAGAUCGAGACCAUCCUGGCUAACACGGUGAAACCCUGUCUCUACUAAAAAUACAAAAAAAAAAAAAAAAAAAAAAAUUAGCCAGGCGUGGUGGCGGGUGCCUGUAGUCCCAGCUACUCAGGAGGCUGAGGCAGGAGAAUGGCGUGAACCCAGGAGGCGGAGCUUGCAGUGAGCCGAGAUCGCGCCACUGCACUCCAGCCUGGGCAACAGAGCAAGACUCUGUCUCGAAAAACAAAACAAACAAACGACAAACAAAAACAAAAACAAACAAAAAAAGAAAUUAAAAGGAAUAGGUGAUAUUCAGAAAUUCAGAGAGUAGCCAGGCACAGUGCUCAUGCCUGUAAUACCAGCACUUUAGGAGGCUGCAGCAGAAGGAUCACUUGAGCCUGGGAGGUCCAGGCUACAUUAAGCCAUGAUUGCACCACUGCACUCCAGCCUGGGUAACAGAGCAAGACCCUGUCUAAAAAAAAAAAUAAACAGAAGUAGAAAUUCAGGGACUGGAUAGUUUGGAAAAUCAAGCAAGGCAAACAAAAUACAGGCAUGCCUAAAUAAGUGAAAUAAGCCAGGCACAGAAAGACAAACAUUGCGUCUUCUCACUUAUUUGUGGGAUCUAAAAAUCAAAACAACUGAACAUAUGUCUCAGGGACAUAGAGAAUAGAAGAAUGAUUACCAGAAGCUGGGAAGGGUAGUGAGGGGCUGGGUGAGAGGUGGGGAUGUUAACAGGUAGAAAAAAUAAUAAUUAGAAAGAAUGAAUAAGACCUACCAUUUGAUAGCACAAUAGGGUGACUAUAGUUAAUAAUUUUACAUUUUAAAAUAACUUUAAAAAUGUGAUUGGAUCAUUUGUAACUCAAAGGAUAAAUGCUUGAGGGGAUGGCUACCCCAUUCCCCAUGAUGUGCUUAUUUCGUAUUGCAUGCCUUUAUCAAAAUGUCUCAUGUACCCCAUAAAUAUAUAUACCUACUGUGUACCCACAACUAUUUAAAAAAUAAAAAAUAAAAACAUUUAAAAUAAAAAAAAAAAGACAUUGCAGUCUGGUUGCAGUUCCAGAUACCCACAAAAAAAGCAAAUAGUGCAAUAAAAAAAAUCACAUGAAUUUUUAGUUUUUUCAGUGCAUAUAAAAGUUACUAUAGUCUACUAAGUGUGCAACAGCGUUAUGUCUAAAAUAAUAAUGUACGUAUCUUAAUUUAAAAAUACUUUACUGCUAAAAAUGCUAACAAUCAUCUGAUCCUUCAGCGAGACAUAAUCUGUUUGCUGGUGAAAGGUCUUAUUUCAAUGUUGAUGGCUGCUGACGUCAGCGUGGUGGUUACUAAAGUUGGGGUGACUGUGGCAAUGUCUUAAAAUAAGACAACACUGAAGUUUGCUGCAUCAAUUCACUCUUCCUUUAAUAAAAUAUUUCUUUGUAGCAUGCAAUGCUGUUUGAUAGAAUUUUGCUUACAGGAGAACUUCUUUCAAAAUUGGAGUCAAUCCUUUCAGAUCCUGCCAUUGCUUUAUCAAGUAAGUUUAUAUAAUAUUCGUAAUCUUUUUUGUCAUUUCAACAAUCUUCACGGCAUCUUCACCAGGAGUAGAUUCCAUCUCAAGAAAACAUUUUUUUUCUUGCCUAUAAGUAGUGACUCCUCAUUUGUGAAAGUUUUAUCAUGAGAUGGUAUCAGUUCAGUCACAUCUUCAGGCUCCACUUUUAAUUCCAGUUCUCUUAAUAUUUUCAACACCUCUGCAGUUCCUUCUUCCACUGAAGUCUUGAACCCAUCAAAAUAAUCCAUGAGGAUUGAAAUCAACUUCUCCCAAAUUCCUGCUAAUAUUUUGGCCUCCUUUAAUGAAUCACGGAUAUUCUUAAUGGCAUCUAGAAUGGUGAUCCUUUCCAGACAGUUUUCAAUUAUUUUGCACAGGUCCACCAGAGGAAUAAUUCUCUAUAGCAGAUAUAGCCUCAUGAAACAUAUUUCUUAAAUAAUAAGACUCAAAAAUUGAAAUUGCAUCUUGAUCCUUGGGCUGCAGAAUGGAUGUUGUAUUAGCAGGCAGGAAACAACAUUAAUCUUCUUGCACACCUCCACCAGAGCUCUUGGGUGACUAGGUGGACUCUCAGUGAGCAAUAAUAAUUUGAAGGAAAUCUUUC
rnacentral:lncRNA from 1 species